AUAUUGUGGGUGCCGCGUCAGCCACUAUAUAUGGUGGAUUGGUGGUGCUACCGCAUCUUUUUCUUUUUUUGUUUAGGGAAUAAAGUUUGAGAAAGGGUUCAUACUUGCUAUAAGGACUAGGGAGUAGGAACUCUCUCUUCUGCACAAUUUUCCCUUUUCAAUCUCAAAUUCACCAACUAUACCAAACCCUAACCCUAGACAACACCAACCAUGUCUUCCAAGCAAGGUGGAAAGGCCAAACCUUUGAAGCAACCUAAGAAGGAAAAAGUUGAGUUGGAUGAGGAUGAUAAGGCCAUGCUUCAAAGGAAGAAGGAAGAGGAGAAGGCACUCAAAGAACUCAGGGCCAAGGCACAGCAGAAGGGACAAUUUGGAGGUUCUGGACUGAAGAAGAGCGGAAAGAAAUGAUGACUCCUCGAAACCAAAUACAAUAUUGUAUUGUGUGAUAAGUUUUUAUGUGACGACUCCUUGAUUUGGUUUGUGUUAUAUGCUUGUUCAACUGUUAUAGUUGGUGGUUUUCUUCAUGUAAAACUAAUAAUUUAAGAAGAAUACUAGCUUGGUCAGCAUUUGAAUUA